GCAUUCGAUACUGGGAAGCUAGAGUAUGGGAGAGGAUGGUAGAAUUCCAGGUGUAGCGGUGAAAUGCGUAGAGAUCUGGAGGAAUACCGAUGGCGAAGGCAGCCAUCUGGCCUAAUACUGACGCUGAGGUACGAAAGCAUGGGGAGCAAACAGGAUUAGAUACCCUGGUAGUCCAUGCCGUAAACGAUGUCUACUAGCCGUUGGGGCCUUUGAGGCUUUANUGGCGCAGCUAACGCGAUAAGUAGACCGCCUGGGGAGUACGGUCGCAAGACUAAAACUCAAAUGAAUUGACGGGGGCCCGCACAAGCGGUGGAGCAUGUGGUUUAAUUCGAUGCAACGCGAAGAACCUUACCUGGUCUUGACAUAGUAAGAACUUUCCAGAGAUGGAUUGGUGCCUUCGGGAACUUACAUACAGGUGCUGCAUGGCUGUCGUCAGCUCGUGUCGUGGGAUGUUGGGUUAAGUCCCGCAACGAGCGCAACCCUUUUCCUUAUUUGCCAGCGGGUUAAGCCGGGAACUUUAGGGAUACUGCCAGUGACAAACUGGAGGAAGGCGGGGACGACGUCAAGUCAUCAUGGCCCUUACGACCAGGGCUACACACGUGCUACAAUGGUCGGUACAAAGGGUUGCUACCUAGCGAUAGGAUGCUAAUC
rnacentral:rRNA from 1 species